rnacentral:lncRNA from 1 species
UUGGUUUGAUACAAUUUCCUUUCGCACACUAUAAAUAGAGAGUCUACAUAGAAAAUAUGUGGUUUAGAAAUUACAUGGAAAUUGUGGUCUCCAACUUACAUAAGAAGAAAACAAAAUGGAAACGAUUAUUGAAACAAAGAAAUGACAAGCAAUGGCCCAAUCCAUUUGUAGUUUUGUGCCGACUACAAUGCUCGUGACCGUCUUUGUAGUGUUGUGCAUGCUUUUUGACUUUCCUUUGCUGCAAAAUCCCUGAAACAUAAUAACCACACAAACGUUUUAACACACCAACCACACACAAAUAUAUCAUCAUCAUCAACAAACCAAACCACACAAAGUAUAAACGCUUAAGGAAUAGAAAAACAUACUGCCUACAUUAAACAUUCCAGAACUUAAGUACAAACACUUAAGUUCCAAACUUGUUUUACAAAGAAACAAAACAUGAAAUAAAAAUACAUCUCCGAAAUGAUCAUAGCAAAGUCCUAAUCAAAAAAGGUCUUAAACCCUAACCAAAACUUCAGUACCUUAUGACUGAAGCAAACAUAAAAACUAGCUAAACAACCAUCUUACUCCAUCAGCUCAGCGAUCAGCUUCAGCUUUAGUGCUUCCUCUGGUUCAGAAAGCGGUUCCGGCUUAGCAAGGAGCCUCUCAAGAACCGCCAUUUUGGAAAUGGCUUUCUUCUCAGCUAAGUCUUUUGCCUUAACAUCCCACAUGGUCCGAAAGUCUCCAAGUACAGCCUUCACGUCAAUGAUUGUUCUCUUAUCCUUUGCUUUAGCCGCUUUAACACCAAUGGGUCGUUUGUUCAUUUUUUCUGCCUCAGAAGCCGUCUGUUCAUCGGUUGGUGAUUGAGAACCAUCAACCUGCUUCUUUCUUUUGUUGCUUCCUCCUACUUUGCUUGCUGCAUGGGUUGUCCACUUAUCCCACCUGAGUUCCUUCCAGGCAUGUUCCAGCGUGAAUUUUUUCUUGUAAAGGUUAAAAAAAAUUUCAUGAGCUGCUUUGAGAAUGUCAUUCUCAUUCUGACCAGAUGUCUUCUCCCUUGUUCCAUAUUCAUAAGCUCCCACGAACUUGCAUACCAAAACGUUGAUCUUCUGCCAUCGCUGUUUGCACUGACUUGCAUCUGGAUGAUCAUGGCCUGAAGACUUGGAACUGGCCGCAUAAAACUCAGAAAUUCUUUUCCAGAAGGGCCCUGCGCGUUGCUCAUUGCCGACGAUGGAGUCCUUACUCGUGUUAAGCCACGAGCUUAUCAGCAGCACAUCAUCUGCAGGACUCCAUGUAUUCCGAGUUGUCUUCUGUUCUCCACCCAAGGCUUCCACGACAGGUGAAGCAGGGACAUGCAUCUCCUCACCAAGGCUUGUUGGAUAACCACAGAAGACACUGUCUUGCUGUGAGUUUAGAAGCUCAACGAAGUUGGUCGCGUGUGAAAAAGGAGUCGGAGAACAAUACUCCAUUUGGAAAUAGAUAGAAGAAGAAAGAUAGAUGAGAGAAUGAGAAUGAGAAGAAGAACAGACAAAAAGGAAAAUGAGAAUGAAAGGAGAAUGAGAAUGAAACAAAUAACGAGAAUGAAAAGAAGAACAGAGAGUUAAGGAGAAUGAGAAUGAAAGGAGAAUGAGAAUAAGAGAGUCUUCUGCGUUAAUAAAAAGCAAAGAAGGAAGAGAAGCAUUGAAGAUACAUUGAAGAGAAGUAGAUGAAGCAUUGAAGAAAAAAGCAAAUAACACUCAAGCAACCUAUUUUCUCUAUCUAUCUACGUGAACCAAAAGAGCAUUGAAGAACAAUGAAAAAGCAAAUAGCACUCAAGCAACUUGAUUCUACAACUUGAUACUCAGCAAACAGCACUCAAGCAACCUAUUUUCUCUAUCUAUCUCUACUAAAACAGCAUUGAAGAACAAUGAGUAGACAUUUAUCUAACUCUUUUUUAAAACCAACCAUCGAUCUUAACACCAACUCUAACCAAUAAAUCAUUAAUUACCAUUUCACACAUCAAUUCAACUACUUCGCUAAACAGCAAUCAAGUUCUUCUACUUUACCAUCUACACUAACCUACCAUUGCCUUACACUAACUAGACAUUUAUUACAAAAUAACAGAGUUGAAUACAUACCUUGACAGCCGAUUAGAAGAGCAGGAUGUGAACAGAGUAAACAACAACCAUCACUUCGUCGCAACUUGAUUCUACAAAAGGAAAACAAACACUUAUUAGAUAUCAUCGAAUAUAAAACAUUUAAUGUGUUAAGCCAUAUAUCAAUUGUACGAAGAUCACAUAGAAUGUGUAAAACAAUAAAUCAUCAUCAUGUUACAAUUGUGUAUUACAAAGAGAUCAACUGAGUAAUUCUACCACUACUUCAUUCAAAUAAUAUCACCAAAUGAACCAGCCAAUAACAAGUUCAGGAUAGAAUUAGAGUCUUUAUUCCAAAUUGAACCCGAUGUAAAGUUCAAACAUCCAUCACUAAACAAAUUAAUGUGCUCCGAUUGAGCAAAUCAAGGGAAGAAGUCGAAGCAUAAUCAAAAAAAGGUGUGAGACUUAGCUUAUCUGUCGAUUCGGUGGACAUGCAGAACACUUUGAUGAGUCGAUUUCCUCAACAAAACCCCGAUGAUUCUUUGCUGUUUCUGAUCGGAGGAGACGGCCAAUAAUGACUCCGAUGAGCCGAUUUUCACAAGCAGGACAUAUAAGACAUGCAAAAAUCAAAGUUUUUUUUUCGUCGAUUCAGUGUGAGGAGAAAACGUUUCGUCGAUCAAAAAAUUUGGAGAAUGAUCGACGAUACAAACGAUGGAGAGAGAUGAAG